rnacentral:rRNA from 1 species
GACGAACGCUGGCGGCGGGCUUAACACAUGCAAGUCGAACGGAAAGGCCCUGCUUUUGUGGGGUGCUCGAUUGGCGAACGGGGGAGUAAGACGUGAGUAACCUGCCCUUGACUUUGGGAUAACUUCAGGAAACUGGGGCUAAUACCGGAUAGGAGCUCCUGCUGCAUGGUGGGGGGGGGAAAGUUUCGGCGGGUGGGGAUGGACUCGCGGCUGAUCGGCUUGUUGGUUGGGUAGUGGAUGACCAAGGCUUUGACGGGUAGCCGGCCGGAGAGGGUGACCGGGCACAUUGGGACUGCGAUACGGCCCAGUCUCCUACGGGAGGCAGCAGUCGGGAAUCUUGCCCAAUGGGCGGACGCCUGAUGCAGAAACGCUGCGUUCGUGAUGCCGGCUUGUUGGUUGUAAACCGCUUUCGCCUGUGACGACGCGUGAGUGACGGUAAUGGGUAAAUAAGCACCGGCUAACUACGUG